rnacentral:rRNA from 1 species
ACUCAAAUGAAUUGACGGGGGCCCGCACAAGCGGCGGAGCGUGCGGUUUAAUUCGACGCAACGCGCAGAACCUUACCAGGGCUUGACAUGCGGCUGCAGAGCCGGGAAACCGGUUGGCCUUCGAGGGUGCCGCACAGGUGCUGCAUGGCUGUCGUCAGCUCGUGUCGUGAGAUGUUGGGUUAAGUCCCGCAACGAGCGCAACCCUCGUGGCUAGUUGUGUGAUGUUUCUAGCCAGACUGCCGCGAGCAACGCGGAGGAAGGUGGGGAUGACGUCAAGUCAGCAUGGCCCUUACGUCCUGGGCGACACGCACGCUACAAUGGGCAGGACAGCGGGUAGCCAAGCGGCAACGCGGAGCGAAUCCCAGCAAACCUGCUCUCAGUUGGAAUUGUGGGCUGCAACUCGCCCGCAUGAACGUGGAGUCGCUAGUAACCGCCGGUCAGCAGUACGGCGGUGAAUACGUUCCCGGGCCUUGCACACACCGCCCGU